GACGAACGCUGGCGGCGUGCUUAACACAUGCAAGUCGAACGAAGUGGCGAACGGGUGAGUAAUACGUGGGUAACCUUCCCUCCUUUUUGGGAUAAGCCUUUGAAACGGGUUCUAAUACCCGCUAAAGGGGGAUGGGCUCUGGGCCUAUCAGCUGGUUGGUGAGGUGAUGGCCUACCAAGGCGGUGACGGGUAGCCGGCCUGCGAGGGUGACCGGCCACAGUGGGACUGAGAUACGGCCCAGACUCCUACGGGAGGCAGCAGUGGGGGAUAUUGCACAAUGGGCGAAAGCCUGAUGCAGCGACGCCGCGUGAGUGAAGAAGGUUUUCGGGUCGUAAAGCUCUGUUGGUAGAGAAGGAGGAUCUAACCAGAAAGCCACGGCUAACUACGUGCCAGCCGCCGCGGUAAUUC
rnacentral:rRNA from 1 species